rnacentral:rRNA from 1 species
AUUGAACGCUGGCGGCAGGCCUAACACAUGCAAGUCGAACGAGUGGCGGACGGGUGAGUUAUGUCUGGGAACCUGCCUGAUGGAGGGGGAUAACUAUUGGAAACGGUAGCAAAAACCGCAUACAAUCGGAUGUGCCCAGAUGGGAUUAGCUAGUAGGUGGGGUAAAGGCUCACCUAGGCGACGAUCACUAGCGGGUCUGAGAGGAUGACCAGCCACACGGGAACUGAGAAACGGCCCAGACUCCUACGGUAGGCAGCAGUGGGGAAUAUUGCACAAUGGGCGCAAGCCUGAAGCAGCCAGGCCGCGUGUAGGAAGAAGGCCUUCGGGUUGUAAAUUACUUUCAGCGGGGAGGCGUUACCCGCAGAAGAAGCACCGGCUAACUCCGUGCCAGCAGCCGCGGUAAUUC